rnacentral:rRNA from 1 species
GGAUGAGCCCGCGUAAGAUUAGCUAGUUGGUGAGGUAAAAGCUCACCAAGGCGACGAUCCUUAGCUGGUCUGAGAGGAUGAUCAGCCACACUGGGACUGAGACACGGCCCAGACUCCUACGGGAGGCAGCAGUGGGGAAUAUUGGACAAUGGGCGAAAGCCUGAUCCAGCAAUGCCGCGUGAGUGAUGAAGGCCUUAGGGUUGUAAAGCUCUUUUACCCGGGAUGAUAAUGACAGUACCGGGAGAAUAAGC